rnacentral:rRNA from 1 species
CCUACGGGUGGCUGCAGUGAGGAAUAUUGGUCAAUGGCCGAGAGGCUGAACCAGCCAAGUCGCGUGAGGGAUGAAGGUACAGAGUAUCGUAAACCUCUUUUGUCAGGGAACAAAGGCGGGGACGUGUCCCCGGAUGAGUGUACCUGAAGAAAAAGCAUCGGCUAACUCCGUGCCAGCGGCCGCGGUAAUACGGAGGAUGCGAGCGUUAUCCGGAUUUAUGGGGUUAAAGGGGGGCGCAGGCGGUCUGUUAAGUCAGCGGUCAAAGCCCGGGGUUCAACCCCGGCCCGCCGUUGAAACUGGCAGUCUCGAGUUGGAGAGAAGUAUGCGGAAGGCGCGGUGUAGCGGUGAAAUGCAUAGAUAUCGCGCAGAGCUCCGAUUGCGAAGGCAGCAUGCCGGCUCCACACUGACGCUGAGGCACGAAAGCGUGGGUAUCGAACAGGAUUAGAUACCCCGGUAGUC